rnacentral:pre_miRNA from 1 species
UUCUUAUUAAAUGAUGUCUGUCGCAUGUCAUGUUCUGAUUGGAUGUCAACUCUAUGAAAGAUGAAAUGCAUUAUUGUUUUCAUAAACCAACAUUGCACGAUUUUACAAAAUA